UGAGUACGAGAUGCUACGGCAUCGAAGCAGUCUAUGUCAUACUUCCAAGAAAAGCUUGCAAUGUCAUAAACAAAUAAUGCCUGUACCAUAACCGACACAGGUGGGUAGGUAGAGUAUACUAAGGGGCGCGAGAUAACUCUCUCUAAGGAACUCGGCAAAAUGACUCCGUAACUUCGGGAGAAGGAGUGCCUUAUUUUUAUAAGGUUGCAAUAACAAGAUCCAAGCAACUUUUACCAAAAACACAGGUCUCCGCUAAGUCGUAAGACGAUGUAUGGGGGCUGACGCCUGCCCAGUGCCAGAAGGUUAAAGAAGUUGGUUAGCAUUAGCGAAGCUGAUAACUGAAGCCCUGGUGAACGGCGGCCGUAACAAUAACGGUCCUAAGGUAGCGAAAUUCCUUGUCGGGUAAGUUCCGACCCGCACGAAAGGCGUAAUGAUUUGGAUACUGUCUCGGAGAGGGGCUCGGUGAAAUAGACUUGUCUGUGAAGAUGCGGACUACCUGCACCUGGACAGAAAGACCCUAUGAAGCUUUACUGUAACUUGAGAUUGAAAUUGGACUUUAUCUGCGCAGUAUAGGUGGGAGACGUUGAAAAUAUUCUUGCGGGAAUAUUGGAGUCAUCAGUGAGAUACCACUCUUAUAAUGUUAGAUUUCUAACUUUGUAUCAUUAUCUGGUCAAAGAACAGUUUCAGGCGGGCAGUUUGACUGGGGCGGUCGCCUCCCAAACGGUAACGGAGGCGCACAAAGGUUUCCUCUGAACGUGUAGAAAUCGUAUCCAGAGUGUAAAGGCAUAAGGAAGCUUGACUGUGAGACCUACAAGUCGAGCAGGGACGAAAGUCGGUCUUAGUGAUCUGACGGUGCUGAGUGGAAAGGCCGUCACUCAACGGAUAAAAGUUACUCUAAGGAUAACAGGCUGAUCUCCCCCAAGAGUUCACAUCGACGGGGAGGUUUGGCACCUCGAUGUCGGCUCAUCGCAUCCUGGGGCGGUAGUACGUCCCAAGGGUUGGGCUGUUCGCCCAUGAAAGCGGUACGCGAGCUGGGUUCAGAACGUCGUGAGACAGUUCGGUCCAUAUCCGGUGUAGGCGUUAGAAUAUUGAGAGGAGCCUUCUUUAGUACGAGAGGACCGAGAAGGACAUACCUCUGGUGUACCAGUUAUCGUGCCAACGGUAAACGCUGGGUAGCCAUGUAUGGAGAGGAUAACCGCUGAAAGCAUCUAAGAGGGAAGCCCACCUCAAGAUAAGUAUUCU
rnacentral:rRNA from 1 species